GACGAACGCUGGCGGCGUGCCUAAUACAUGCAAGUAGGACGCAGUUGCGAACGGGUGAGUAACGCGUAGGUAACUGCCUAUUAGAGGGGGAUAACUAUUGGAAACGAUAGCUAAUACCGCAUACUAGUAGAUGGACCUGCGUUGUAUUAGCUAGUAGGUAGGGUAAUGGCCUACCUAGGCGACGAUACAUAGCCGACCCUGGAGGGUGAUCGGCCACACGUGGACUGAGACACGGCCCAGACUCCUACGGGGGGCAGGAGUAGGGAAUCUUCGGCAAUGGGGGGAACCCUGAACGGGCAACGCCGCGGGAGUGAAGAAGGUUUUCGGGUCGUAAAGCUCUGUUGUUAAGGAAGCGGUACUUAACCAGAAAGGGACGGCUAACUACGUGCCAGCAGCCGCGGUAAUUC
rnacentral:rRNA from 1 species